rnacentral:lncRNA from 1 species
CGGGGGUCGGGAGAGGCGUCAGGAUCCCUGGCGCCGCCUGAGCCAGCGGCUGCUAGGAGGCUGUGUCCGCAAGCCAGCGGGGCGAGGCGGCUGGGCCCUGCGCGUCAGGUCCCGGCCUGGGGCACCGGGGCUGCCAGCGUCGGAGGAGGCCUGAGACCUGGGAGGAAGCUGGAGAAAAGAUGCCCUCUGAAUCUUUCUGUUUGGCUGCCCAGGCUCGCCUCGACUCCAAAUGGUUGAAAACAGAUAUACAGAUGAUAGUGUCGAACCAAGUGGAACAAAGAAAGAAGAUCUGAAUGACAAAGAGAAAAAAGAUGAAGACGAAACUCCUGCACCUGUAUAUAGGGCCAAGUCAAUUCUGGAGACCUGGGUGUGGGUCAAGCAACCAGGUAAUCUUCUGAGUUUUGGCACUUUGGAAAGCUUGAUCUGAUGCUCCUUUUCUAAAUAACAUGGGUGGAUUAUUCGUAUUUUUUGGUAACAAUUUUAAAAAAUGUAAUUAAAAAAAUUUAAAUAUCGUGGUAAAAUAUACAUACCGUAAAACUUGCCAUUUUAAUCAUUUUUAUGUGUACAGUUCAUUGGCAUUAAGUAUAUUCACAUUAUUGCCCAGCCAUCACCACCAUCCAUCUCUACAACUUUUGCCCUUUCUCUAACUGAAACUCCGUAUCCAUGAAACACUAACUCCUUCUGUCCCCAGGCAACCACCAUUCUACUUUUGUCUCAGAAUUUGACUACUCAAGGUGUCUCCUAUAAGGGGAAUCAUACAGUAUUUGUCCUUUUGUGACUGGGUUAUUGAACUUCUUAGGUGUUUGGGGUUCAUCCGCAUGUGUCAGAAUUUUCUUUUAAAGGCUCAAUGCUAUUCCAUUAUAUAUGUAAGCCACAUGUUAUCCCUUCAUCAGUGGGCAAUCAGGUUGCUUUCAUCUCUUGACUGUUGUGAGUAAUGCUGCUAUGAACAUUGGUUUACGAGUGUCUUGAGUGUCCGCUUUUAAUUCUUUGUGUCUAUACCUAGG